UAAUACGUAGGGGGCUAGAGUUGUCCGGAUUUACUGGGUGUAAAGGGUGCUCAGGUGGAUUUGUAAGUCAGAGGUGAAAUCCCAAAGCUUAACUUUGGUGCUGCCUUUGAUACUGCAAGUCUUGAGUUUGAGAGAGGAUAAUGGAAUAUCUGGUGUAGCAGUGAAAUGCGUAGAUAUCAGAUAGAACACCAAUGGCGAAGGCAGUUAUCUGGCUCAAAACUGACGCUAAAGCACGAAAGUGUGGGGAGCAAACAGGAUUAGAUACCCUGGUAGUCCACACCCUAAACGAUGAAUACUAGAUGUUGGUCUUUUUUAAGAUCAGUAUCCAAGCUAACGCAUUAAGUAUUCCACCUGGGAAGUACAAUCGCAAGGUUG
rnacentral:rRNA from 1 species